GACGAACCGUGCGAACGUUAUUCGGAAUCACUGGGCUUAAAGCGCGUGUAGGCGGUAUGGGUACGUCGGUCGCUGAAAUCCCCCGGCUCAACCGGGGAACGGGCGCCGAAACGACCCGUCUGGAGGACGUAGGGGGACCUGGAACUUCCGGUGGAGCGGUGAAAUGCGUUGAGAUCGGAAGGAACGCCCGUGGCGAAAGCGGAGGUCCUGGACGUCGUA
rnacentral:rRNA from 1 species